rnacentral:tRNA from 1 species
ACCUCGUUAGCUCAGUUGGUAGAGCGUUGAACUUUCAAUCUAUCGGUCAGGAGUUCGAGUUCCCUACGGUGCU